UACGUAGGGUGCGAGCGUUAAUCGGAAUUACUGGGCGUAAAGCGUGCGCAGGCGGUGAUGUAAGACAGGUGUGAAAUCCCCGGGCUUAACCUGGGAACUGCAUUUGUGACUGCAUCGCUGGAGUGCGGCAGAGGGGGAUGGAAUUCCGCGUGUAGCAGUGAAAUGCGUAGAUAUGCGGAGGAACACCCAUGGCGAAGGCAGCAAACUGGGCAUUAUCUGACGCUGAGGCGCGAAAGCGUGGGUAGCAAACAGG
rnacentral:rRNA from 1 species